rnacentral:rRNA from 1 species
UACAGAGGGUGCGAGCGUUAAUCGGAAUUACUGGGCGUAAAGGGCGCGUAGGCGGCCUGAUAAGUCGGAUGUGAAAGCCCCGGGCUUAACCUGGGAAUUGCAUUCGAUACUGUCAGGCUAGAGUAUGGUAGAGGGAAGCGGAAUUCCGGGUGUAGCGGUGAAAUGCGUAGAUAUCCGGAGGAACAUCAGUGGCGAAGGCGGCUUCCUGGACCAAUACUGACGCUGAGGCGCGAAAGCGUGGGGAGCAAACAGG